rnacentral:rRNA from 1 species
UGGCUCAGGACGAACGCUGGCGGCGUGCUUWWCACAUGCAARUCGAAMGAUGRAGAGCUGCAACCUGUUGUGGGGUGGAUUAGUGKCGAACGGGUGAGUAAUACGUGGGUARCCUGCCCUCCUCUUUGGGAUAAGCCUYGGAAACRGGGUCUAAUACCGAAUAUUCUGGCGCUCUCGCAUGGGGGUGUUGGGAAAGCUUUUGUGUGAAGGGGGAUGGGCUCGCGGCCUAUCAGCUUGUUGGUGGGGUGAUGGCCUACCAAGGCGGUGACGGGUAGCCGGCCUGAGAGGGUGACCGGCCACAUUGGGACUGAGAUACGGCCCAGACUCCUACGGGAGGCAGCAGUGGGGGAUAUUGCACAAUGGGCGAAAGCCUGAUGCAGCGACGCCGCGUGGGGGAUGAAGGCUUUCGGGUUGUAAACCUCUUUCGCUAUCGAACAAGGCCCGCUUAGGGUGGGUUGAGGGUAGGUGGAGAAGAAGCGCCGGCUAACUACGUGCCAGCAGCCGCGGUAAUACGUAGGGCGCGAGCGUUGUCCGGAAUUAUUGGGCGUAAAGGGCUUGUAGGCGGCUUGUUGCGCCUGCUGUGAAAACGCGGGGCUUAACUUCGCGCGUGCAGUGGGUACGGGCAGGCUUGAGUGUGGUAGGGGUGACUGGAAUUCCAGGUGUAGCGGUGGAAUGCGCAGAUAUCUGGAGGAACACCGAUGGCGAAGGCAGGUCACUGGGCCAUUACUGACGCUGAGGAGCGAAAG